CACUCCAAACAUUUCAGAUUGACCCAUACAGAUCCGUUCAUCAAAUUGAUCACCAAUCCGUUGUGAGAUUUUAAAAAUUUGAAUUGUCCAAAAAUCACUAGAACUCCUGAGUCGCUUUAACCACGAGAGAUUCAGCGCCCCCCACAUACCUUGUAUGUGCGUAGAACUAAGAUCCCAGCGAGUUGUUCGGGCAGGAAUGCUCGACCUUGAAAUGUAUGCUAUUGCAUGCACCCAUACUAAAUCUUUCUUUAAUUUAUAUAUGCUCUCACAUAUCAUCUUUGAAAAAAGGACAUAUCUCAACAGAUGGAACGUUUUUUCGAGUAUACUGAUUUAUAGCCUUCAUUUUUUCAUAUCUGGUGAGUGGAGUAUUAUUGAAAAAUCGGACACCCCUCUUUAUAGUGGAUAAAAUUUUCACCUCAUUUCUUCUCUCAGCAUCGGCACUGCAGCUAGAAACUUCAAUUCUUAGAAGAGUGAAAGACUUGACAAAAUCUAAUUCGCUAAGACCAUCCCAUGUCUUAAGAUAGUCGUCACAUUUGGAUAAGAUGUUGAUGGAGAGUCCUGGAUUUUUUUGAAAUCCUGAAUGACUGAUGGUGCAGGAGAUGGGAUAUGCCAUUUUUUCUUGUAUUCCUGUUAGAAACCUUCAAGACUGGAUUUGGAGUUGAUAAUCUCGUUUAAUCCUUUCAUUGCGAUUAGAAAGAUAGAUGGCGAAAGCAAAUCUCCUUGCCGAACUCAAUGCAGAAUGCAAAACUUUGAGUGAGAUCCGGAAAUAUCAAUGCUCGAUAAUGAGUUUCUAUGAAUAGUCGAGACUAUGUUAACAAACCCAUCUUGCAGUCCGUACCUGUAUAGCUGUAUGACAAUGAACUUGUGUGAGACAAUAUCGAAUGCCUUUUCGAAGUCGACAAAAAUUGUAGCGUACUUGGAUGAUGCACAUAAGUCAAUACCAUCUUGUAUAGAGUGCGCUAUGUUCACUAGCAGGCGGGACGCCAUAAAUCCUUUUUGAUCUGUUGAUAUAAUGUACGGAAUAAUUUUGGGAAGUCUUUGACUCAAUAUUCUGGACUAAAGUUAAAGAUCCACUUGUCGAGGAUUGGAGAAAGUAAAUUUUUAAACCUUUUGAAAAAUUCAAAAGGCAACACUGAUGGUCCAGGAUUUUUAAAUUUUUUGUCAAUGUCUAAAAGUAUAUCAUGAUUUAGAUCAUUUUGAUCAUUUUUUUUUUUUCAAUUCUUGCAGGAUCCAAAUUUUUAAACAACAAAGGUU
rnacentral:lncRNA from 1 species